AUCCCACCACUGCCACC
rnacentral:misc_RNA from 1 species